UUUUUUUUUUUUUUUUUCCUCGUUUUAUUUUAUUUUAUUUUAUUUAUUUCUUUUGUUUAAUUUAUUUGUUUGCCCAUUUGUUUGUCCGUUUGUUUAUCUGAUUGUUCGAUUAUUAUUAUUUUCGCCAUUUCAUUUUAUUUUGUUUAUGUCAAAACAUUACCAAGUUAAUCGUUGAACAAACUACUUGGAUCAAUUUUUUAAUUUAUAAUCUAAUAAAAAAGUCUUCUUUUUAUUUUUUUUAUUUUUUUUAUUUUUGCGUAAAAAUUGGAUCAAUAUGAAUUGUUUAUCAGCCUAUAAGUUUUUUUGUUUCUUCAUUUUUUUAUUUUAUAAUACAAUGGACACUUCUUGUUUAAGCAAAGUUGAACACAAUGGUAGUACAUUAACAAUGAAUGACAACAUACCAUACAAAUUAAACAAUAUGACAAGCCAAUUAAUAAAUGUAAUUAAAAAAAAAUCUAACCAUGUUAGAAUGUUGUACAACGCACUAAAUGGAAAUAAUAAGGAACUUCCUCUGUAUAUUUUUGUAAAAGAUGAAAAUGAAAAAAAACGACAAAUUCUUAAGGAUUUAUAUUUAACGGGGAAGCUACAUUUUCUCCAGGGACAUAAUAACCCCUUGUCGAAAUAUUAUCUAGCUGUAAAAAAUAGACACGUAGCUACUAGUAUAUUACUAGAUGAAAAAUUAAAGAAAGAGCGUGAUUUUAUAAAUAACCUGACUGAAGAAGAUAAAAUUAACUACGUAAAAGGAAAACUCACAAAAUACGAGAAUCUUAGAAUAAAUGCUCAACAGAUAUACUCAAAGCUAGAAAAAAAGCUAAACUCAUUAGAAGAAAUUAUAGCGAUUUUAAAAAAAUAAAACCAAAACAAUAAAAAAAAUUAAGUUAACCCA
rnacentral:lncRNA from 1 species